UACGGGGGGGGCAAGCGUUGUUCGGAAUUACUGGGCGUAAAGGGCGCGUAGGCGGCUCUACAAGUCACUUGUGAAAUCUCCGGGCUUAACUCGGAACGGUCAAGUGAUACUGUCGAGCUAGAGUACAGAAGGGGCAACUGGAAUUCUCGGUGUAGCGGUGAAAUGCGUAGAUAUCGAGAGGAACACCUGCGGCGAAGGCGGGUUGCUGGGCUGAUACUGACGCUGAGGCGCGAAAGCCAGGGGAGCGAACGGG
rnacentral:rRNA from 1 species